UAGAGUUUGAUCCUGGCUCAGGAUGAACGCUAGCGGCAGGCUUAACACAUGCAAGUCGAGGGGCAUCGGGAGGGAAGCUUGCUUUCCUUGCCGGCGACCGGCGCACGGGUGAGUAACACGUAUGCAACCUGCCCUCUUCAGGGGGACAACCUUCCGAAAGGGAGGCUAAUCCCGCGUAUAUCGGUUUCGGGCAUCCGAGAUCGAGGAAAGAUUCAUCGGAAGAGGAUGGGCAUGCGGCGCAUUAGCUUGACGGCGGGGUAACGGCCCACCGUGGCGACGAUGCGUAGGGGUUCUGAGAGGAAGGUCCCCCACACUGGUACUGAGACACGGACCAGACUCCUACGGGAGGCAGCAGUGAGGAAUAUUGGUCAAUGGGAGAGAUCCUGAACCAGCCAAGCCGCGUGAGGGAAGACGGCCCUAUGGGUUGUAAACCUCUUUUGUCGGAGAACAAAACCCGGGACGUGUCCCGGACUGCGUGUAUCCGAAGAAAAAGCAUCGGCUAACUCCGUGCCAGCAGCCGCGGUAAUACGGAGGAUGCGAGCGUUAUCCGGAUUUAUUGGGUUUAAAGGGUGCGUAGGCGGUCCGUUAAGUCAGCGGUAAAAUUGCGGGGCUCAACCCCGUCGAGCCGUUGAAACUGGCAGACUUGAGUUGGCGAGAAGUACGCGGAAUGCGCGGUGUAGCGGUGAAAUGCAUAGAUAUCGCGCAGAACUCCGAUUGCGAAGGCAGCGUACCGGCGCCAGACUGACGCUGAGGCACGAAAGCGUGGGGAUCGAACAGGAUUAGAUACCCUGGUA
rnacentral:rRNA from 1 species